AACGAACGCUGGCGGCACGUUUUAAGCAUGCAAGUCGAACGGCAGUGGGGGCAACCCCAUGAGAGUGGCGAACGGGCGAGUAACCCGUAGGUGAUCUGCCUUUGGGUUGGGGAUAGCUUGGGGAAACACAGGGUAAUACCGAAUGAGCUGAGGAGGCUUUGGCCAUGUUAGUAAAGGGGCUACGCAACCGCCAAGAGAGGAGCCUGGGGCUGAUUAGCUAGUUGGUGGGGUAAAGGCCUACCAAGGCGACGAUCAGUAGCCGGCCUGAGAGGGUGUACGGCCACACUGGAACUGAGACACGGUCCAGACUCCUACGGGAGGCAGCAGCUAAGAAUCUUCCGCAAUGGGCGAAAGCCUGACGGAGCGAUGCCGCGUGAUCGAUGAAGGUCGAGAGAUUGUAAAGAUCUUUUCCAACUGAGGAAUAAGUGGACCAGGGAAUGGGUUCAUGAUGACGUUAAGUUGGGAAUAAGCCCCGGCUAAUUACGUGCCAGCAGCCGCAGUAA
rnacentral:rRNA from 1 species